rnacentral:lncRNA from 1 species
UAUCGCCUGAGAGCACAGCGGGAGGGACAAUGAUCGGGAUAAAAACCCAGGCAUUAUUCGAUCCAGUAGCUGUAACCCGCUUUGGGUCCCCUCCCAUUGUGUGGGAGCUCUGUUUUCACUCUGUUAAAUCUUGCAACUUCACACUCUUCUAGUCCGUUUUUGUUCUGGCUUGUUCUGGCUCGAGCUGAGCUUUCAGUCGCCGUCCACCACUGCUGAUCACUGCCCUUGCAGACCCGCUGCUGACUUCCACCCCACCAGAUCCAGCAGCGUGUCUCCUACGCUUCUGAUCCAGGAGGCGCCCAUUGCCGUUCCUAAUGGGGCUAGAGGCUCGCCGUUGUUCCUGCACGGCUAAGUGCCCGGGUUCAUCCUAAUCAAGCUGAACACUAGUUGCUGGGUUCCACAGUUCUCUUCUGUGACCCACGGUUUCUAAUAGAGCUAUAACACUCACCGCAUGGCCCAAGGUUCCAUUCCUUGGAAUCUGUGAGGCCAAGAACCCCAGGUCAGAGAACAAAAGGCUUCCCGCCAUCUUGGGAGCAGCGCCCUUGGGAGCAGCCUGCCACCAUCUUGGGAACUCUAAGAAAAAAGACCUGCAGAGGGAAGGACAUAAGAUGAAAAACAACAGUCAGAGAAGUGAAACAUCAUUGCAAAAUGGAAGAAGGGCGCCAUCAUCCAAAGAAUACAGCCACUUGAAGAUGAAAAGGUCAAGUCUGAAGUUCAAGCUUUUCUUGAUGUGCUGCUCUGGGAGUAAUAUCCCCACCUUGGUAGGAAGUACAACUGAGUUAACUGUAAUUUCUCAGUAUUUUAUUUAUGCUCCAGUUUUCCCCAUUCACUUCAAUAUAGGUUUAAUUCUUCCUUUCAUUUCUAAUACAGUCAUUGCCCCUUUGUACACUAUAUCUGUCUGAUUUCUUUAUUUCUCAGGACAUGCAAAAUUGCAAAUAUUUAAUUGCACCUUAUGUUUUCACUAUACCUGCACCAAUAUUUUAACUCAAAACUAUACUAAAGAACUUUUUGAGCCAUCGUUAAGUCGUCACACAGUGCCAUAUAACAUAUUUCCUUCUGCAGUAAUUGAAAUAAAUAUAGUGCCAAUACUCAUAUUUGCAAGAUUGUCUCUAUAUCAAAUUGUUUACAUGUGAGCAAAAAAUGUUUGCACCUGUCUUCCCACAGCCUGUGGGAUGAAUUUUUCAUACUCUAACGACUGAAUUUUGAGACUUCAUUUUCCCCACAAUUCCCAAGUUAUUUCAGAUAUUCAAUUGGAACCAGAGAAUUCUCUAUACAGAAGAUAACAAGGUUAUUUUUCUCUGGGCUUAGACCAGGUCAUAGUCAAUGGCCUGGACAAGAAGUGUCUAAUUUAAUGCCUGAAACAGAGCAGCUAACUGUCUCUAUGGCUCAAUGUCACAAAAGUCUGGAGACACCAAGAAAAUGAUAAAUUGAAAUAUCUCAGUUAGAAAUUCUCAUGAUGAAAGGACCAGGGUCAGAAAAAAUUUAAAAUAAUAAUAAUAAUAAAUAUAAAUAAAAAGAAGAAAUUCUCGCUUGCUUAUACCAUUGCUGUAAGGUCAAUUAAAUUGUGUAAAAAUUAUGUUAUUAUAAAGCAAAUUGUUGACCAUGAUAAUUUAAUAAGAAGAUCAUAUACUAAACAACAUUCUUUUAAAUUGUAGAUAAAAUUAAUGAAAGUCAGAGUAACAACUCCAAAGUUACAUUAUCUAAUAUGGUAAGCAUUAGUCACAUAUGUCCAUUUAGCUAUAAAAUCUAGAUUAAUUAAAAGCAAAUAAGAUUUAAAAAUCAAUUCUUCAACUGAACUUGAUAUAUUUCAUGUACUCAACAGAGAUAUACAUUGUCAUCAUCACAGAAAGUUUUAUUGGACAGUGCUGAUAAAGGAUAAAGAAUUACACUCCAACUUAAAUUUUACUUUAUGUUGCAAAGUAAUUUUUCUUUUUUAAGUUCAUGGAAGCCAGCAUAAAUGCCUUUGAGUGGUCAAAGACAAAGAUAGUGAUUAGUUUAGAUAAACAAACUCAGCUAGUUUUGCACCAAUAAAUGAUCACUUUAAUGUGUGUCAAUCAUAUCCCGUAUGGGCACAUGUAGGACAGUGGUCCCAUAAGAUUAUAAUGCUGUAUUUUUACUGUGCCUUUUUUACUUUUAUAUAUGCUUAGAUACACAAAUACUUGUCAUUGUAUUACAAUUACUGACUGUAUUCAAUGCAGUAGCAUGUUGUACAGGUUUAUAGCCUAUGAGCAAUAGGUUACACCAUAUAGCCAUGGUGUGUGGUAAGCAAUAGCGUCUAGGUUUGUGGAGGUGCAUUCCAUGGUGUUUACACAACAA